rnacentral:rRNA from 1 species
UACAACAUAAUUUUAAUGCACCGGAUCCCAUUAGAAAUCCAUAGUUAAUCACACUCAUGCUAGAGUACUACUGGGAUGGGUGACCACCCGAGAAGUCCUAGUGUUUUAC